UACGUAGGGUGCAAGCGUUAAUCGGAAUUACUGGGCGUAAAGCGUGCGCAGGCGGUUAUGUAAGACAGAUGUGAAAUCCCCGGGCUUAACCUGGGAACUGCAUUUGUGACUGCAUAGCUAGAGUACGGUAGAGGGGGAUGGAAUUCCGCGUGUAGCAGUGAAAUGCGUAGAUAUGCGGAGGAACACCGAUGGCGAAGGCAAUCCCCUGGACCUGUACUGACGCUCAUGCACGAAAGCGUGGGGAGCAAACGAGGAUUAGAAUACCCUU
rnacentral:rRNA from 1 species